UUGCUUCUGAUUGAUAACAUUUGAGUGAGUGGCGGACGGGUGAGUAACACGUGGGUAACCUGCCCUAAAGUGGGGGAUAACAUUUGGAAACAGAUGCUAAUACCGCAUAAAACCUAGCACCGCAUGGUGCAAGGUUGAAAGAUGGUUUCGGCUAUCACUUUAGGAUGGACCCGCGGUGCAUUAGUUAGUUGGUGAGGUAAAGGCUCACCAAGACCGUGAUGCAUAGCCGACCUGAGAGGGUAAUCGGCCACACUGGGACUGAGACACGGCCCAGACUCCUACGGGAGGCAGCAGUAGGGAAUCUUCCACAAUGGACGAAAGUCUGAUGGAGCAACGCCGCGUGAGUGAAGAAGGUUUUCGGAUCGUAAAACUCUGUUGUUGGAGAAGAACGUAUUUGAUAGUAACUGAUCAGGUAGUGACGGUAUCCAACCAGAAAGCCACGGCUAACUACGUGCCAGCAGCCGCGGUAAUACGUAGGUGGCAAGCGUUGUCCGGAUUUAUUGGGCGUAAAGCGAGCGCAGGCGGUUUCUUAAGUCUGAUGUGAAAGCCUUCGGCUCAACCGAAGAAGUGCAUCGGAAACUGGGAAACUUGAGUGCAGAAGAGGACAGUGGAACUCCAUGUGUAGCGGUGAAAUGCGUAGAUAUAUGGAAGAACACCAGUGGCGAAGGCGGCUGUCUGGUCUGUAACUGACGCUGAGGCUCGAAAGCAUGGGUAGCAAACAGGAUUAGAUACCCUGGUAGUCCAUGCCGUAAACGAUGAGUGCUAGGUGUUGGAGGGUUUCCGCCCUUCAGUGCCGCAGCUAACGCAUUAAGCACUCCGCCUGGGGAGUACGACCGCAAG
rnacentral:rRNA from 2 species